rnacentral:rRNA from 1 species
UUGUUGCGGUUAAAAAGCUCGUAGUUGGAUUUCGGCGGUCAGGGGCCGGUGAUAUAUUUGUAUCUACUGGCCCAUUUGGUCGUAUUUUUGAAAGAGGGUUUGGGGUCCCCUUCACUGGGUGUCCUAGGUCGCUUUCAGGUUUACUUUGAAAAAAUUAGAGUGCUCAAAGCAGGCUUUAACGCUUGAAUAUUCGUGCAUGGAAUAAUAGAAUAGGAAGUUCGUUUCUAUUUUGUUGGUUUUAGGAUAACGACUUAAUGAUUAAUAGGGACAAUCGGGGGAAUUAGUAUUCAAACGACAGAGGUGAAAUUCUUGGACCGUUUGAAGACUAACUACUGCGAAAGCAUUUUCCAAGAGUGUUUUCAUUAAUCAAGAACGAAAGUUAGAGGUUCGAAGGCGAUCAGAUACCGCCCUAGUUCUAACCAUAGACGAUGCCAGCUAGCGAUCUCAGGGUGCGUAAUACUAAGGCCCCUGAGGGAGC